UACGUAGGGGGCAAGCGUUGUCCGGAAUCAUUGGGCGUAAAGCGCGUGUAGGCGGCUCGAUAAGUCCGCUCUGAAAGUCCAGGGCUCAACCCUGGGAUGCGGGUGGAUACUGUCGGGCUCGAGUCCGGAAGAGGCGAGUGGAAUUCCCGGUGGUAGCGGUGAAAUGCGCAGAUAUCGGGAGGAACACCGGUGGCGAAGGCGGUCAACUGGCCCUAAACUGACGCUCAGGCACGAAAGCGUGGGGAUCGAAACAGG
rnacentral:rRNA from 1 species